rnacentral:misc_RNA from 1 species
GAAAUGCGAUACCGCCUCGUGGUUGGUUGAAAUCUGGGUUCAUGGCCGACUUCGCCGUGAUAAAAUGGUGGAUGAGCCACGCUCGAGACCAAUCACGUGCGAGCCGGUCAGUUCUGGACCCAUCGACGACCCUUUGCGUGCACGCACGCUCCCAACGAGACCUCAGGUCAGGCGGGGCUACCCGCUGAGUUUAA